rnacentral:miRNA from 1 species
UCUCUGAGCAAGGCUUAACACC